rnacentral:rRNA from 1 species
UACGUAGGGGGCUAGCGUUGUCCGGAAUCAUUGGGCGUAAAGCGCGUGUAGGCGGUCCGGUAAGUCCGCUGUGAAAGUCGGGGGCUCAACCCUCGAAUGCCGGUGGAUACUGUCGGGCUAGAGUACGGAAGAGGCGAGUGGAAUUCCAGGUGUAGCGGUGAAAUGCGUAGAUAUCUGGAGGAACACCGGUGGCGAAGGCGCGAUUCUGGUCCGUUACUGACGCUGAGGCGCGAAAGCCAGGGGAGCAAACGGG